GAGUUUGAUCAUGGCUCAGGAUGAACGCUAGCGACAGGCUUAACACAUGCAAGUCGAGGGGCAGCGGGGGAGUAGCAAUACUCCCGCCGGCGACCGGCGCACGGGUGAGUAACACGUAUGCGACCUGCCCCCCGCAGGGGGAUAACCGGGAGAAAUCCCGACUAAUACCGCGUAACGCCGCGGGGCUGCAUGGCCCCGCGGCCAAAGGAAGCGAUUCCGGCGGGGGAUGGGCAUGCGGCGCAUUAGCUAGUCGGCGGGGUAACGGCCCACCGAGGCGACGAUGCGUAGGGGUUCUGAGAGGAAGGUCCCCCACACUGGUACUGAGACACGGACCGGACUCCUACGGGAGGCAGCAGUGAGGAAUAUUGGUCAAUGGGCGGAAGCCUGAACCAGCCAAGUCGCGUGAGGGAAGACGGUCCUAUGGAUUGUAAACCUCUUUUGCAGGGGAGCAAGGCGCGGUACGUGUACCGCGAAGGAGAGUACCCUGAGAAAAAGCAUCGGCUAACUCCGUGCCAGCAGCCGCGGUAAUACGGAGGAUGCGAGCGUUAUCCGGAUUUAUUGGGUUUAAAGGGUGCGCAGGCGGACUGUUAAGUCAGCGGUAAAAUGUCGGUGCUCAACACCGGCCGGCCGUUGAAACUGGCAGCCUUGAGUGAGCGAGAAGUAUGCGGAAUGCGUGGUGUAGCGGUGAAAUGCAUAGAUAUCACGCAGAACUCCGAUUGCGAAGGCAGCAUACCGGCGCUCAACUGACGCUGAGGCACGAAAGCGUGGGUAUCGAACAGGAUUAGAUACCCUGGUAGUCCACGCAGUAAACGAUGAAUGCUAGCUGUCCGGGGCUUCGGUCCUGGGUGGCACAGCGAAAGCGUUAAGCAUUCCACCUGGGGAGUACGCCGGCAACGGUGAAACUCAAAGGAAUUGACGG
rnacentral:rRNA from 1 species